UCCGCAGUAGCUCAACGGUGGAGCAUUCGGCUGUUAACCGAAGGGUUGGAGGUUCGAAUCCUCUCUGCGGAGCCA
rnacentral:tRNA from 1 species